rnacentral:rRNA from 1 species
AUUGAACGCUGGCGGCAGGCCUAACACAUGCAAGUCGAGCGAGCGGCGGACGGGUGAGUAAUGUAUAGGGACCUGCCUGAUGGAGGGGGAUAACUACUGGAAACGGUAGCUAAUACCGCUUACCAGCCGAUGAACCCAUAUGGGAUUAGCUAGUAGGUGGGGUAACGGCUUACCUAGGAGACGAUCACUAGCUGGUCUGAGAGGAUGAUCAGCCACACUGGGACUGGGACACGGUCCAGACUCCUACGGGAGGCAGCAGUGGGGAAUAGUGCACAAUGGGCGAAAGCCUGAUGCAGCCAUGCCGCGUGUAUGAAGAAGGCCUUCGGGUUGUAAAGUACUUUUAUUAGGGAGGCGUUACCGAAAGAAGAAGCCCCGGCUAACUCCGUGCCAGCAGCCGCGGUAAUAC